GGCUAGUCCCAAGGUGGUGAGUUACCUCACUUGAUUGUUCACAGUCACAGAUUGAACUCCUUGUUCUACUACUUUCCCCUCUUCUCACUAUUUCACUUGACUAGUCUAAA
rnacentral:Y_RNA from 1 species